AUAAUAAUUAUAUGCGAUUUAUAUAUAUAUAUAUAUAUAUAUAGCCUACUUUAUCUCUGUUUCUAAACUUUCUGAGCAUGUCACACUGCAGGACGCAGCUGUCACCGACUGACACAUUAGAUUGACUAGACCAAUACAGUGUGAUGAAUGUUAGCAAAAGAUCAGAUUAAGAGAUUUGUUGAAUCUUUGCUGCUCUCUCGUGAUAUUCUGUCUGAUUCAUUCCACAGUGAGGAAUACACACUUCUCAUUGGCAGGCAGCUCACAUUCUCUGGCUCGGAGACUCCCAGCACAUGUCACAGUUGACUUCUGUUGAUUCAGAGGUAGAGCGAGUACUCUCAGAGUGUUGCUAACCACAGGCCAGUCUGGCACACAAUUUUUCUAUCCGUCUUUUUCUCAUUGUCUGUUAAUUUGUCGAUCCACUGUUUUUCCACCGUGUUCAUAUAAGGACACAAGCACACUGAUCAUUGAAUGAUUUGGACUACAUCGGUGCUAUUAGGAGCUUGUCCAAAGACAGAGGCAGACACACCUGGGCUGCAUGAAGAAGACAGCAGACAAACUCGAUAUAACCUUCCAGGAACACGUCUUAAUACAAGUGAACAGAUACACUUGUACAGAUGCAGUCAUUUCCUCUUUAUCUCGAGGUUACUCAUGGAGGGCUUCAUUGUGACAGUUGGAUGACAUGACCAUAUUUUAAGGAAUAUAAGAUGGAUGAGGAAUGGCAAGCUCUCAGUAUAAGGCUCACAAGAAGAAGAAUCCUUGUGCUGAGGAACCCUAUACACUCUUACAUACUGGAUCCAGAUUUCCAGCGCUGGAGGUCUGUGGUGAACCACCCACUGCUGGCAGCGGUCUAACCCGGCUGAGGCAGCGGAUGGGGUGGGUGUUGAAUCCCGUGGAGAGCACUGGAGACCAGACCAGCCCUGCUGAAUCAUGCUAA
rnacentral:lncRNA from 1 species